rnacentral:rRNA from 1 species
AGUGAACGCUGGCGGUAGGCCUAACACAUGCAAGUCGAACGGCAGCACAGUAAGAGCUUGCUCUUACGGUUGGCGAGUGGCGGACGGGUGAGGAAUACAUCGGAAUCUACUUUUUCGUGGGGGAUAACGUAGGGAAACUUACGCUAAUACCGCAUACGACCUACGGGUGAAAGCACGGGAUCUUCGGACCUUGCGCGAUUGAAUGAGCAUAUGUCGGAUUAGCUAGUUGGCGGGGUAAAGGCCCACCAAGCCCACGAUCCGUAGCUGGUCUGAGAGGAUGAUCAUGCACACUGGAGCUGAGACAGAGUCCAGGAUCCGACGGGAGGCAGCAGUGGGGAAUAUUAGGCAAUGGGCGAGAGCCGAAUCAAGCCAUGCCGCGUGUGGGAAGAAGGCCUUCGGGUUGUAAAGCCCGUUUGUUGGGAAAGAAGAGCAGCAGGUUAAUACACCGCUGUUCUGACGGUACCCAAAGAAUAAGCACCGGCUAACUUCGUG